CACACACACACAAGUUCAAGCUGAAGCAAGUUAAGGUAGCUUGAACCUGUUUGAAACUGAAGCAAGUUAAGCUACAAGAUCAAGUUCCAAGUCCAAGUUCAGGCUCUUUAUUUUCUCUCAAAUCCUUCUCCUUGCUUGCUAAGAUUGUGUUGUGUAUUUGUGGACGGUAAUAUUGGAAUGAAGCUACUAUAUAGCCUGCUAGGGAUUUCAAGACAAAAUACGAAGGUGUUGGUACAUCUCGCCAAAGAUUUCAAACAACGUGGAGUUUACACAUCAAAUGUUGUCUACCAUGAAGUGUUGCGUGAUUAAUUAACCGCAUCCAUAUCAAAAGGAAGUAGAGGAGAAGAUACAAGAAAGUCUUGAGCGAACGGAUGUAUUGGUAAAACAGGAAGAGAUACAAGAGACUCCCCGUAUUUUGUUUUUAGUGUUUUGUCCAGCUACU
rnacentral:lncRNA from 1 species